GUCAACUAUUUUUUUCAAACUCAUUACGUAUUCUACUGAAUGUGCCAUCGAAAUGAUGGAGGAUUCAUCUUAAUUAUUGGCUGUUUCUAUUGGACUUGCUAGAUCACCAACUCCAGAGACCAAUCUCUCAUUCCAUCUUCUAGAGAACCUUGAAUAACUGAUUGGCGGUUUCAUGUAGACAAUUUCGAGUGUAGGCCUAUACUGUUUAAUGAUUCUUUUAGAUCAUAGACGUCAAGCACAUUGAUGACACAAACAAGAAAAAGAAUAGGACUAUACAGUCAACACAAUUCCUUGUUUGCUGACCUGUUGGCUGCUCCCCUUGAAUCUCCCUGUUUGUCAACAACAAAAAAAGAGGUUCAGUAUUGUGAUCAUGCUAUCAUAAAUGGAAGUUGUGUUUGCAUUGAAUUAGAGAAGUUGUCAUCCAUAUAGCAAUUUUAAAUUUUUAAUGAUUGUUUGGUUUCUUAUUUAGAUAUGGCCUAUAUAUAAGAUCAAAUGUGUCGUUGUCCCUCCAAAAUAAGUCAAUGACCACACGUCCAACACAGAUUAUUCGUUCUGUCAUCGAACUUGACUCAUUCCAUCUUCUGGAUUGCUCAGGAAACCUGAUUGGCGUUAUCUGUCCAUUUAGGUAAUGACCGAGAAGAUGCGGCCUACAUGAAUAUCAUUUCGUCGGCCAUUAUCAUUCGACUACCCAACCGGCUUCUACUACCCUGGUCUCAACACAGCACGGAGUUUUACCCUUAAGAUUUUUGGCUGUUUUUCGCGAUGUGUGAUAUUUCGUUAGAUGAGAUGUUGAUUUUGGCGAGAAAAAUAUUGCGUGAGUGACUAAUAUUUUUACUUUAUAUUUGAUUCAAUCUAAAGAGGUCACAUAAUUUUACUGCAUUCAUCGUCAUUAUACCCUUUCAUUAUCAUUUCCAUACUGCAGAGCUAAAACUGUCUUUUUGUAGGUCUGAAUAUUACUCAUUGAAUGAUAUAUUGGUGAAUAUAUACUCAAAUGUCAAUUGAUAUAAAACCCAUCCCCAGCAACGUCAACCUGGAGAAGGAUAGGCCACUUUGCAUGGCCUUAACGCUCGAAGGUCACGGAGAUCAUUACGUAAAACGUAUCAUGUAGUGGUGUAGAGGUUGGGUGAGAAAGGGACAUGUUGCUUCAUUAUAUGCUUCAUAACCAUUUGGUAUUCAUUUUGAUAUUGGUUUUUGUAGACCCAUCCCCUGCAAAAGGAAAGGCCAGUUGGACGCUCGAAG